rnacentral:lncRNA from 1 species
UAAUACUUUAAAGAUGCUCCAAGGACCUCGGAUGACUCUGAGAGUUCUGAGAUGCACUGGGAAGAUGGGAAGAUGAAGACAGGAGAGGACCAAUCUCAGUGACUACUUUGUACAAUAGCUGUCUCCUGAGAGGCUCUGCCAGAGCCUUAUGGAUACAGAUGCAGAUGCUUGCAAAGCCAGCCUCCUGGACUGAGCACGGGGACCCCAGUGGAGGAAUUAGGGGAAGGACUGAAGGAGCUGAAGAGGUUUGCAACCCCAUAGAAAAAACAACAAUAUAACCAGCCAGACCCCUGACCCCCAGAGCUCCCAGGAACUAAACCAUCAACCAGAGUACACAUGGA